GCAGAUCCACAGGCCGAAGGAGAUGCAGACGCGGUGGCGGGCGAAGCAGCGGUCCAGGAGUCGCUGGUGUUGAUGCUGAAAAGUUACAGGAUCUCUUCCAGGAGGAGGAUGGCAGUACAGCAGCUUACCCUACAAAGACAACAUGAAUGACAACAGUGCAGCCUAAGUGCCAUCUGUGGCCUCAGAGGAGACAGCUCCACCCAGUCACACUCUGAUGGAGCUUUCUGCCUUCUGGUUAAGUUAGCUGAGUUGAGUUUUG
rnacentral:lncRNA from 1 species